UCCGCUGGGCACCCGUGAGGGAUCCAGCCAAUCAGCUUCCUUGCGCCUUACGGGUUUACUCACCCGUUGAGUCGCACACAUGUCAGACUCCUUGGUCCGUGUUUUAAGACGGGUCGAAUGGGGAGCCCACAGGCCGACGCCCUAAGCACGCAGAUGCCAAGGCACGCCGUGAGGCGCGUGCUGCAGACCACGAUUAAGGCAGCGACGUCUCCCUGGGCAUAACAAAAACCUGGGCUUAGGUCACCACCUUAAUCCGCAUCGGUCCAUGGCCCGAAUCGAUCGGUGAGCCGGAUUGCUCCGUUCCGCUUCCGACCGGGAUGAAUUACCGGCCCCCGUCCGCUUCCCUCCCGACAAUUUCAAGCACUCUUUGACUCUCUAUUCAAAGUCCUUUUCAUCUUUACCUCGCGGUACUUGUUCGCUAUCGGUCUCUCGCCCAUAUUUAGCCUUGGAUGGAAUUUACCGCCCGAUUGGGGCUGCAUUCCCAAACAACCCGACUCGUAGACUGCACCUCGUGGUGCAACAGGGUCUGGGCACGACGUGGCUCUCACUCUCUCUGGCACCGAGUUCCCAUCUUCUUCUGCACGGGCCGUUGCCCCGGGUCAUGGGAUCGAGGUCGUGGUUCCGCAAGACGUAAUAACUCUUGCAGGCUCGGGCAUUCCAGACGCUCAAGCUCUACCUGCCAGAUCGUCCAUGACUCCGAUCCUUGUCGAGGAUAAGGAGAGGGCCACUGACUCUAUGCCUUCUCCUCCGGCCAGGAAAUAAAUC